rnacentral:rRNA from 1 species
AAGACUUCGGUCAAGUUGAACGGAUGACUUAGUGGCGGACGGGUGAGUAACGCGUGAGGAACCUGCCUUUCAGAGGGGGACAACAGUUGGAAACGACUGCUAAUACCGCAUAAGCCCACGGCUCGGCAUCGAGCAGAGGGAAAAGGAGUGAUCCGCUUUGAGAUGGCCUCGCGUCCGAUUAGCUAGUUGGUGAGGUAACGGCCCACCAAGGCGACGAUCGGUAGCCGGACUGAGAGGGUGAUCGGCCACAUUGGGACUGAGACACGGCCCAGACUCC